CACGUAGGGGGCAAGCGUUGUCCGGAUUUAUUGGGCGUAAAGAGCUCGUAGGUGGUUCGGUAAGUCGGGUGUUAAACCCCCAGGCUCAACCUGGGGACGCCACUCGAUACUGCUGUGACUAGAGUCCGGUAGGGGAGCGUGGAAUUCCUGGUGUAGCGGUGAAAUGCGCAGAUAUCAGGAGGAACACCAGCGGCGAAGGCGGCGCUCUGGGCCGGUACUGACACUGAGGAGCGAAAGCGUGGGUAGCAAACAAG
rnacentral:rRNA from 1 species